GACGAACCGUGCGAACGUUGUUCGGAAUCACUGGGCUUAAAGGGCGCGUAGGCGGGUCGGCAAGUCCGGGGUGAAAGCCCCCAGCUCAACUGGGGAAGGGCCUUGGAAACUGCCGGUCUCGAGGGAGGUAGGGGCCUGUGGAACUUCGGGUGGAGCGGUGAAAUGCGUUGAUAUCCGAAGGAACGCCGGUGGCGAAAGCGACGGGCUGGAUCUCUUCUGACGCUGAGGCGCGAAAGCUAGGGUAGCGGAACGGG
rnacentral:rRNA from 1 species